rnacentral:rRNA from 1 species
UGGGGAAUAUUGGACAAUGGGCGCAAGCCUGAUCCAGCCAUGCCGCGUGAGUGAUGAAGGCCUUAGGGUUGUAAAGCUCUUUCACCCACGACGAUAAUGACGGUAGUGGGAGAAGAAGCCCCGGCUAACUUCGUGCCAGCAGCCGCGGUAAUACGAAGGGGGCUAGCGUUGCUCGGAAUCACUGGGCGUAAAGGGCGCGUAGGCGGAUUGUUAAGUCAGAGGUGAAAGCCCAGGGCUCAACCCUGGAAUUGCCUUUGAUACUGGCAAUCUUGAGACCGGAAGAGGUUAGUGGAACUGCGAGUGUAGAGGUGAAAUUCGUAGAUAUUCGCAAGAACACCAGUGGCGAAGGCGGCUGACUGGUCCGGUUCUGACGCUGAGGCGCGAA